AACAGAGCACUCGGAGCAGAGUAGAGUGGCCAGGUUAUCAGGCUGUGAACACUGAGUUUCUGGCGUCGAUAAGGUGUUGAACCAGGGUUUAAAUACAGGAGGGUUGAUUACUGACAGGUGUGUUCAUCAGCUCCACAAGUCACACCACCUGGAAGACAGAGAAGAGAG